UGGGGAAUAUUGCACAAUGGGCGAAAGCCUGAUGCAGCGACGCCGCGUGAGGGAUGACGGCCUUCGGGUUGUAAACCUCUUUCAGUAGGGACGAAGCGCAAGUGACGGUACCUGCAGAAGAAGCACCGGCUAACUACGUGCCAGCAGCCGCGGUAAUACGUAGGGUGCGAGCGUUGUCCGGAAUUACUGGGCGUAAAGAGCUCGUAGGCGGUUUGUCACGUCGUCUGUGAAAUCCUAGGGCUUAACCCUGGACGUGCAGGCGAUACGGGCUGACUUGAGUACUACAGGGGAGACUGGAAUUUCUGGUGUAGCGGUGGAAUGCACAGAUAUCAGGAAGAACCCCGAUGGCGAAGGCAGGUCUCUGGGUAGUAACUGACGCUGAGGAGCGAAAGCAUGGGUAGCGAACAGG
rnacentral:rRNA from 1 species